rnacentral:rRNA from 1 species
AGUAUUUUGACUAUACAAAGGUAUUGAAAUAAGACUUUAAUUGAGUGCUAAGAGAAUGGAAUUUCAUAAAAUUUCUUUUUUAAUUUUAAAAAUUGAAAUUAAUUUUAUAUGUGAAGAAACAAUAAUAAAAAUUAAGGACAAGAAGACCCUAAGAAUUUUAAAAAUUUCAAUAAAAUGCUGAAUUUUAUUGAAAUUUUUUAAUUGGGGCGAUUAUUAAAUAUUAAAAACUUUAAUUUUUUUAAAAAAGAACCAAUAAUAUUGGUUAUUUGAAAAAAUACUCUAGGGAUAACAGCGUAAUAAUUUUUGAUAGUUCUUAUAGACAAAAUAGUUUGCGACCUCGAUGUUGGAUUAGGAUUCUUUUUUAAUGAAGAAGUUAAAAAAAGAAGUUUGUUCAACUUUUAAAAUCCU